rnacentral:rRNA from 1 species
GAUGAACGCUGGCGGCGUGCCUAAUACAUGCGAGUAGAACGCUGAAGGAAGGAGCUUGCUCUUUCCGGAUGAGUUGCGAACGGGUGAGUAACGCGUAGGUAACCUGCCUGGUAGCGGGGGAUAACUAUUGGAAACGAUAGCUAAUACCGCAUAACAGUAGAUGUUGCAUGAUAUCUACUUAAAAGGUGCAAUUGCACCACUACCAGAUGGACCUGCGUUGUAUUAGCUAGUUGGUGAGGUAACGGCCCACCAAGGCGACGAUACAUAGCCGACCUGAGAGGGUGAUCGGCCACACUGGGACUGAGACACGGCCCAGACUCCUACGGGAGGCAGCAGUAGGGAAUCUUCGGCAAUGGACGGAAGUCUGACCGAGCAACGCCGCGUGAGUGAAGAAGGUUUUCGAAUCGUAAAGCUCUGUUGUAAGAGAAGAACGAGUGUGAGAGUGGAAAGUUCACACUGUGACGGUAUCUUACCAGAAAGGGACGGCUAACUACGUG